rnacentral:rRNA from 1 species
AGCAGCCGCGGUAAUUCCAGCUCCAAUAGCGUAUAUUAAAGUUGUUGCAGUUAAAAAGCUCGUAGUUGAAUUUCGGAAUCUGUCCGUUGGUCGGGCUUAACUGUCCGUACUGAUGUGAUGGGUUCUUACCUUCUGAAUAACCAUCAUGCCAUUAAUUUGGUGUUGGGGAAGCAGGACUAUUACCUUGAAAAAUUAGAGUGCUCAAAGCAGGCUAGCGCCUGAAUACAUUAGCAUGGAAUAAUAAAAUAGGACGGCAUGGUUCUAUUUUGUUGGUUUCUAGGAUCACCGUAAUGAUUAAUAGGGAUAGUUGGGGGCAUUAGUAUUCAAUUGUCAGAGGUGAAAUUCUUGGAUUUAUUGAAGACUAACUUCUGCGAAAGCAUUUGCCAAGGAUGUUUUCAUUAAUCAAGAACGAAAGUUAGGGGAUCGAAGACGAUCAGAUACCGUCGUAGUCUUAACCAUAAACUAUGCCGACUAGGGAUCGGACGAUGUUAAUUUUAUAAUGGCUCGUUCGGCGUACCG